AGCGACGGGAGCAAUCCGUGGUGGCGAGUGGCGACGGUGAGUAAUAUAUACGGAACGUGCCAGUCGGUGGGGAUAACGUAGCGAAAGUUACGCUAAUACCGCAUACGAUCUACGGAUGAAAGCGGGGGGACUCGCAAGAGUCUCGCGCGAUUGGAGCGGCCGAUAUCAGAUUAGGUAGUUGGUGGGGUAAAGGCUCACCAAGCCAACGAUCUGUAGCUGGUCUGAGAGGACGACCAGCCACACUGGAACUGAGACACGGACCAGACUCCUACGGGAGGCAGCAGUGAGGAAUAUUGGACAAUGGGCGCAAGCCUGAUCCAGCCAUGCCGCGUGCAGGAUGACGGUCCUAUGGAUUGUAAACUGCUUUGUACAGGAAGAAACACUACUUCGUGAAGUAGCUUGACGGUACUGUAAGAAUAAGGAUCGGCUAACUCCGUG
rnacentral:rRNA from 1 species